rnacentral:rRNA from 1 species
AGUGAACGCUGGCGGUAGGCCUAACACAUGCAAGUCGAACGGCAGCACCGUGCUAGCUUGCUCUUCCGGGUGGCGAGUGGCGUACGUGUGAGGAAUACAUCGUAAUCUACUUUUUCGUGUGGGUUCACGUAGGGAAACUUACUCUCAUACCGCAUACGACCUACGGUUGAAAGCAUUGGAUCUUCUGACCUUGCGCGGUUGAAUUCGCCGAUGUCGGAUUAGCUAGUUGGCGGGGUAAAGGCCCACCCAGGCGACGAUCCGUAGCUGGUCUGAGAGGAGGAUCAGCGACACUGGAACUGAGACACGGUCAAGACGCCUAAGGGAGGCAGCAGUGGGGAAUAUUGGACAAUGGGCGCAAGCCUGAUCCAGCCAUACCGCGUGGGUGAAGAAGGCCUUCGGGUUGUAAAGACCUUUUGUUGGGAAAGAAAAGCAGCAGGUUAAGACCACGCUGGUCUGACGGUACCCAAAGAAUAAGCACCGGCUAACUUCGUG